rnacentral:rRNA from 1 species
UAGGGAAUCUUCGGCAAUGGACGAAAGUCUGACCGAGCAACGCCGCGUGAGUGAAGAAGGUUUUUCGGAUCGUAAAACUCUGUUGGUAGAGAAGAACGUUGGUGAGAGUGGAAGCUCAUCAAGUGACGGUAACUACCCAGAAAGGGACGGCUAACUACGUGCCAG